rnacentral:rRNA from 1 species
UACGUAGGGGCCUAGCGUUGUCCGGAAUUAUUGGGCGUAAAGAGCUCGUAGGCGGUUUGUCGCGUCUGCCGUGAAAGUCCGGGGCUCAACUCCGGAUCUGCGGUGGGUACGGGCAGACUAGAGUGUGGUAGGGGAGACUGGAAUUCCUGGUGUAGCGGUGAAAUGCGCAGAUAUCAGGAGGAACACCGAUGGCGAAGGCAGGUCUCUGGGCCACUACUGACGCUGAGAAGCGAAAGCAUGGGGAGCGAACAGG